GACGAACGCUGGCGGCGUGCUUAACACAUGCAAGUCGAGCGGUAAGGCCCUUUCGGGGGUACACGAGCGGCGAACGGGUGAGUAACACGUGGGUGACCUGCCCUCAGCUCUGGGAUAAGCCUGGGAAACCGGGUCUAAUACCGGAUAUGACUCCAUGACGCAUGUUGUGGGGUGGAAAGCCUUGUGCGGCUGAGGAUGGGCCCGCGGCCUAUCAGCUUGUUGGUGGGGUGAUGGCCUACCAAGGCGACGACGGGUAGCCGGCCUGAGAGGGCGACCGGCCACACUGGGACUGAGACACGGCCCAGACUCCUACGGGAGGCAGCAGGUGGGGAAUCUUGCGCAAUGGGCGAAAGCCUGACGCAGCGACGCCGCGUGAGGGAUGACGGCCUGGU
rnacentral:rRNA from 1 species